rnacentral:tRNA from 1 species
UGGUGUCGUGGGCGGGGUGCAGCGCGUUCAUGGCCUUGCGGCGGACGUCGAGGAACGCGGCGAGGUACUUCUCCUCGUCACCGCCC